AUGACAAGUCGAACGGAAAGGCCCUUCGGGGUACUCGAGUGGCGAACGGGUGAGUAACACGUGGGUGAUCUGCCCUGCACUUUGGGAUAAGCCUGGGAAACUGGGUCUAAUACCGGAUAGGACCACGCGCUUCAUGGUGUGUGGUGGAAAGCUUUUGCGGUGUGGGAUGGGCCCGCGGCCUAUCAGCUUGUUGGUGGGGUAAUGGCCUACCAAGGCGACGACGGGUAGCCGGCCUGAGAGGGUGACCGGCCACACUGGGACUGAGAUACGGCCCAGACUCCUACGGGAGGCAGCAGUGGGGAAUAUUGCACAAUGGGCGCAAGCCUGAUGCAGCGACGCCGCGUGAGGGAUGACGGCCUUCGGGUUGUAAACCUCUUUCAAUAGGGACGAAGCGCAAGUGACGGUACCUAUAGAAGAAGGACCGGCCAACUACGUGCCAGCAGCCGCGGUAAUACGUAGGGUCCGAGCGUUGUCCGGAAUUACUGGGCGUAAAGAGCUCGUAGGUGGUUUGUCGCGUUGUUCGUGAAAACUCACAGCUUAACUGUGGGCGUGCGGGCGAUACGGGCAGACUAGAGUACUGCAGGGGAGACUGGAAUUCCUGGUGUAGCGGUGGAAUGCGCAGAUAUCAGGAGGAACACCGGUGGCGAAGGCGGGUCUCUGGGCAGUAACUGACGCUGAGGAGCGAAAGCGUGGGGAGCGAACAGGAUUAGAUACCCUGGUAGUCCACGCCGUAAACGGUGGGUACUAGGUGUGGGUUUCCUUCCUUGGGAUCCGUGCCGUAGCUAACGCAUUAAGUACCCCGCCUGGGGAGUACGGCCGCAAGGCUAAAACUCAAAGGAAUUGACGGGGCCCGCACAAGCGGCGGAGCAUGUGGAUUAAUUCGAUGCAACGCGAAGAACCUUACCUGGGUUUGACAUGCACAGGACGCCAGUAGAGAUAUUGGUUCCCUUGUGGCCUGUGUGCAGGUGGUGCAUGGCUGUCGUCAGCUCGUGUCGUGAGAUGUUGGGUUAAGUCCCGCAACGAGCGCAACCCUUGUCUCAUGUUGCCAGCACGUUAUGGUGGGGACUCGUGAGAGACUGCCGGGGUCAACUCGGAGGAAGGUGGGGAUGACGUCAAGUCAUCAUGCCCCUUAUGUCCAGGGCUUCACACAUGCUACAAUGGCCGGUACAAAGGGCUGCGAUGCCGUGAGGUGGAGCGAAUCCUUUCAAAGCCGGUCUCAGUUCGGAUCGGGGUCUGCAACUCGACCCCGUGAAGUCGGAGUCGCUAGUAAUCGCAGAUCAGCAACGCUGCGGUGAAUACGUUCCCGGGCCUUGUACACACCGCCCGUCACGUCAUGAAAGUCGGUAUCACCCGAAGCCGGUGGCCUAACCCUUGUGGCAGGGA
rnacentral:rRNA from 1 species